rnacentral:rRNA from 1 species
CAACUUUCGACAACGGAUCUCUUGGCUCUCGCAUCGAUGAAGAACGCAGCGAAAUGCGAUAAGUAAUGUGAAUUGCAGAUUUUCAGUGAAUCAUUGAAUCUUUGAACGCACCUUGCGCUCCUUGGUAUUCCGAGGAGCAUGCCUGUUUGAGUGUCAUUA